GAAGACGCGGUUGCAGGUUCGGCGGAGGCGCGCUGUGCUUGCUUCUGCUCCUGACUCACCGCUGUUCGCUCUCGCCGCCGAGGAACAAGUCGGUCAGGAAGCCGCGCUGCAGCCAUGGCUAUUAAAGAUACCGGGAAAACACCUGUGGAGCCAGAGCUGGUGAUUCACCGAAUUAGAAUUACUCUCACCAGCUGCAACGUUAAGUCCCUGAAAAAGGUGUGUGCUGACUUGAUCAGAGACGCAAAGGAGAUGAAUCUUAAAGUGAAAGGACCAGUUCGGAUGCCUACCGAGACUUUGAGAAUCACUACAAGGAAAACCCCUUGUGGUGAAGGUUCUAAGACUUGGGAUCGCUUCCAGAUAGAAUCCACAAGCGACUCAUUGACCUGCACAGCCCUUCUGAGAUUGUGAAGCAGAUCACCUCCAUCAGCAUUGAGCCAGGAGUUGAGGUCCAAGUCACCAUUGCAGAUGCUUAAAUCUAAUAAAUUGAUGACAAGUUGC